UACGAAGGGGGCUAGCGUUGUUCGGAAUUACUGGGCGUAAAGCGUGCGCAGGCGGCCUUCCAAGUCAGGGGUGAAGGCCCAGAGCUCAACUCUGGAAUUGCCUUUGAGACUGUGAGGCUUGAGUACGGGAGAGGUGAGUGGAAUUCCCAGUGUAGAGGUGAAAUUCGUAGAUAUUGGGAAGAACACCGGUGGCGAAGGCGGCUCACUGGCCCGUAACUGACGCUCAUGCACGACAGCGUGGGGAUCAAACAGG
rnacentral:rRNA from 1 species